rnacentral:rRNA from 1 species
CUACGGGAGGCAGCAGUGGGGAAUUUUGGACAAUGGGCGCAAGCCUGAUCCAGCCAUGCCGCGUGAGUGAAGAAGGCCUUCGGGUUGUAAAGCUCUUUCGGACGGAAAGAAAUCCUAUCCGCUAAUACCGGGUGGGGAUGACGGUACCGUAAGAAGAAGCACCGGCUAACUACGUGCCAGCAGCCGCGGUAAUACGUAGGGUGCGAGCGUUAAUCGGAAUUACUGGGCGUAAAGCGUGCGCAGGCGGUUUUGUAAGACAGGUGUGAAAUCCCCGGGCUUAACCUGGGAACUGCACUUGUGACUGCAAGGCUAGAGUACGGCAGAGGGGGGUAGAAUUCCACGUGUAGCAGUGAAAUGCGUAGAGAUGUGGAGGAAUACCGAUGGCGAAGGCAGCCCCCUGGGUCGAUACUGACGCUCAUGCACGAAAGCGUGGGGAGCAAACAGGAUUAGAUACCCUAGUAGUC